UGUGUAGUUGUUUUCUUCCUCCUUGCUCUCCGACCGACUGGCGCCGCCUGCGCCGCUCCCCUCCACGCAGCUCCAAGCCGCCUGUGCCUUCUCUCCUUUCCCCGCGGUUCCUCUCCCUCCCCAGCGCCGGCGCCCUCUACCUUGCGCGCGUCACCGGCGCUCCCUUCCUCUCGCAUGUCCCUCCGCAUCGGUGAAAAUGUGAUUUUUCCCCUCCGGCACUCCGAUCUGCAGCGGCCGUGCUCAAUCUACGUCGGGGACUACCAAGACGGUGCGACGGAGCUGCUUCUGCCGGUCGCCUGCACGGAGCUGCUGCUACCGGUCGUCAGGUGAGGAGCGCGUCUCCUGCAGCCGCGGCUACCUGGCCACGCAGCAGCGGCGACGGGAUGGUGGCGGCAAGGGGGAUCCUCUGUCCGCUCUAGGACUCCACACGGCCAAGGGGGCGAGCUCCUCCGUCCGCUCUAGGACUCCACACGGCCAAGGGGACGAGCUCCUCCGUCCACUCUAGGACUCCACCGCCAAGGAGGCACGCCCUUGCAUCGGGGAGGUGCUCGAGCUUGUCAAAGGAGGUGCUCGAGCUUGUCAAAGGUGCCCCUCCCCUUCCCCCUCCAGAUCUGAUUUGCUGGUGAAUUGCAGGUUCAAGUCACUAUCUUUGAGCAAGAUUUCAGAUUUCUGAUAAUUAUACUGAAUCUUGAAGUGUACUGUCAACUGAACGUAUUGGCAGAUUUUCAUAUUUAGACUGAAUGUUUACUACUCCUGUUAAUAACAUACUGAAUUUUUAGACAAUUUAAUCUUGAAGUAUAAACUGAAUGUUUAGACAGAGUUCUUAUUCAUGUCUAAGUAUGAACUGAAUGCUGCUCGUCUUUAGUACUGCUACUGCCUGCGGCUUGAAGUGUCGUGGCGGGGGAGCUAAGGGAGGUGGCCAGGUCCUGCUGAUUCACUCGGUGCCUCUGACAGUCUGAUGUCCUGAGGUUUUGAGGCGAUUCUGCUCUCGUUUUGCUCGGUGGUUUCUGUCUGGGGAGCUGCUGAUUUGGUAGUCUGCCUCUAGAAAUGUUUGGAGUUUGUCUGGUAGUCCAUGCGUGCUUCAUCAUGAAUUUUCAGAGCAUUUGCUGGUGGUUCAGAUUUCUGUCUGGGCUUCAGACCUCGGUCUGAAUUUGUACUAGUUUUGAACUGAAAAAACAGAGAGAUCUAGGUGUGAACUAUGAACUAGGAGUUGUACUCACACUGCACAUAAAGAAGAUGUUGUAAACUGUCUUGGUGAAUUUGUCCCAAUUGCAGAAAAUUCAGUCAUUCUAACUGCACAUAAAGUAAAUUUUAGAAUGACUGAAUUUUAGAAUUUGUUCCAAUUUGCUGAAAAUACUCCGUGUUCAAGUUGAAAAUGGCUGUGGAGGAUUUUAGAAAGUGUCAUUUGUAAUCAGUGUGCUAUCUUUUGAGUUGCUGUUCAUGGUGGGAAAAAAAGAAUGUAGCUUAAUCCUGCUAUCAAACACUUUGCUCUAACCACUUCUACUCAUAAUUGUUUGAAACAUUAUUCACUGUAGUCUCAGUUAACUGAAUUUUCUGAAGUCAUUUUCCUGCUCACAAGUUGACAGAAAACUGUUUGAAACAAAUUUUGACACAAGUUGACUGAAACAAAUUUAGAAAUCAUAGUGCUCCUGUGAUUUAGAUUCAGUAAACAUGACAGUAAAAUUGCUCUAAGAGUGCUGACUAAAUAAAGGGCUUGCUGUAUUAAGCAAAUCAAUUGACUAAAUGCAUCUUUAGCUGAAUUUACUAAGGUAAUAUUGGCUGUGUGAGCUGAAUUCACAAGGUGAGCAUGUGCUACGGCUGUGCACUAACAGUGAGCACAUUACCAGUUCUAGUGCAUCCUAGUGAAAACCUACCCCAGUCCAGUGCAUCCUUUCAUAUAAAUCCAUGAUGCACAUAAAUUUGGUCACAGUAAGUACUCCAACAGUGAUUACAGUCAAAGUGAAUUUCAGAUGAUUGCUUUUUCAAUUACCAGUUCCAAUUUCCAUUCAGUGUAAUUCACUUUCAAUUUCAGUUUUUAGUGCAAUUCACUUUGAAUUUCAACUAACUUUCAUCUGGACUACUGUACGACUUUCCUAUCAGCCGCCAGCAGCAGCAGCAGCAGCACAGGCGUGGGAAGGCAAUUGGAGGCAGCAGCAGAGUUCGUGAAUCGGGGGGCGUCGGCAUCGGCCACCACCAGAAGAGGCGUCGCCGACCACCAGCAGCAGGUGGUUCCCCUUCUUCUUGGUGCUACUCGUCAGCAGCAGCUGGCGGUCGAAGCGGGCCUUCGCGGGGGCGAUGCGCGGCAGAAUCAGGGGCGGCGACCUGUGUCCUAGGUGGCGCCGGUCCUGCUCAUUGGUGGGCGGGCGGCGGAGAUCCUGCUCGUGGGUGGCGGAACGGCGCGCCGGCGGUGGGCGGCGGAACCAAUUGGCCGAGGCCCCGCUCGUGGUGGGUGGGUGGCGGAGGUCCUCCUGGGCGGGCUCGUCGGCCGCGCAGGGCAUGUUUGUCGGCGUCCUCCUGGGCGGGCUCAUCGGCGGCGCAGGACCUGCUCGAGCAACGGGCGGCUGGCCAUGGGGGGUGGGGCCGCGUGGGCGAUGGACGGAGGAGGAAGAAGGGGACGGGGACUUAUUUGUCAGAGCUUUAAAAGCAUAAGGGCUUUUUUUGGAAAAACGCCACUGUACUGCGCUCACGACAUGAAUUUCGGGACGGAGGGAGUAUGUGGUACGUGUCCACCAAACCGACUGGAGUGAGUGGGAAGGAUAUCGAUUUGGUGUUAUCAUGCUCGGUCGGGAAGGGAAGGAUGCAUACUUACACAUCCAUCAUUUCUUACGUUAGGCGCCGUAUACAAGCGGUGCUAUUUUUGGAGCCGCUAGGCAUGCAUGAUCAACGAGGCUGG
rnacentral:lncRNA from 1 species